rnacentral:lncRNA from 1 species
GGGAACAUCAUAAUAUGAUUGGAGGAGUCAUUUGGUGCCUUUUGAGUGAAAUCCAAUGGCUAAAACUAUGCAAUGCACCAACCACUCCAUUUCAUAACGAACUUUGUAGGAGCCUGAAUUGUCCAAUUAAAUGGACCAAUCGAUAUCGGAUUCAGUCCAAAACUUGGGGAACAUCAUAAUACGGUGCGAGGAGUCAUUUGGAGGGUUUUGAGUGAACUCUAAUCUCUACGACUAUGCAAUACACCAACCAC